rnacentral:rRNA from 1 species
GUCUGACUUGGGUAUAGGGAUGAGACCAAUCGAACCAUCUAGUAGC